GAUGAACGCUGGCGGCGUGCCUAAUACGUGCAAGUCGAGCGAACGGACGAGAAGCUUGCUUCUCUUAUGUUAGCGGCGGACGGGUGAGUAACACGUGGAUAACCUACCUAUAAGACUGGGAUAACUUCGGGAAACCGGAGCUAAUACCGGAUAAUAUUUUGAACCGCAUGGUUCAAAAGUGAAAGACGGUCUUGCUGUCACUUAUAGAUGGAUCCGCGCUGCAUUAGCUAGUUGGUAAGGUAACGGCUUACCAAGGCAACGAUGCAUAGCCGACCUGAGAGGGUGAUCAGCCACACUGGAACUGAGACACGGUCCAGACUCCUACGGGAGGCAGCAGUAGGGAAUAUUCCGCAAUGGGCGAAAGCCUGACGGAGCAACGCCGCGUGAGUGAUGAAGGUCUUCGGAUCGUAAAACUCUGUUAUUAGGGAAGAACAUAUGUGUAAGUAACUGUGCACAUCUUGACGGUACCUAAUCAGAAAGCAGCGGCUAACUACGUG
rnacentral:rRNA from 1 species